UGAGUCGAGCACGUGAGUUGAAGGCCCAAGUCGUUAUGGUAAAUUCACCUAAAUUGAGAAAGCGCACGAAGGGCAUUUCACAGAGUGGGUGUUGCAACAGCAAACGCUUUGGUACCAAGUGCAAUUCUUCUUGCACGGAUGGUCCUCUUAAGAUUCCUCGGCUUUGCCAUGAGUGUUAAAAGAUCAAUUGGAUGACAAAUAUAUCUGCGAUUGUUUUGCGAACCUGUCGCUCAUAUUCAUCCCGAGACCAACUUUUCGCCGUAUUUGUUCGUCUACCAUCCACUGCAGUUCAUUCUCGUUGCAUUCUGCGCAGAGUUCCAGAUGCGAUUCGUGUGGAGCCAAAAACUCGGAUAGCAAGUUCGUGAAUGAAGAGGAAAUGCCGCACUUUGCUUGAGGACAGCACCUUGAGCAAAGAUGAAAGGAGGCAAUUGACGGGCCAGUGAGAAGGUGGAGUGUGCUUCGUGUGGAUUCGAGGGAGUGGAAGGGACCUCAGAAGUUGUUCAGUGACAUCGCCUUGUAGAGCAGUUGGUCGGUAACCAACACAACAAGAAAAGACAUUAAAAAAAAAAUUCGAUGAAAAAAAAAACCCUAAAUAUUUCAAGAUCCGCAAUGUCACUCGAAUACAAGAUGGCGAUUCCUCUAGCAACAUCCCCACGCGUGCAGGGCUCGGCUAACCUUGUGGCAUUCGACAGCUCUUUUCAGGACUGAUGCUUCGUGACGUCAUUGCGUUGCUACUCUUGAAAUGUCGAGAGUUUAGUUGUUGUUGUUGUACCGAAUUCGAAACAAAACCCCGGCUCUUAUUGUUAUUUUCAGUUGCCAACCCUGCACUCGUGCAACUUGAACGUAUUUGAGAAAGAACACAAAGAACCACAGUAAAGUGAACGAUAUAUUACAACUGCAGUAUUCCAUCUGUAGUUUAUUGACCAUCGAAAGGCCACCAAAGCAUGUUUAAGUGCAGGCAAAUUGCAUGCUGGUGGUAUGGAAAAAAAUGGCUAACUUUUACAAAAAGACAAACUAUGAUCAAACACAUUGUAAGUGAGGCGUGUGAAGCCGGACCGAGAAAAUGCUGACGUAUUGCCGAGUAGUGUGGCAAGAAACUGAGUUAUAUUGCCGUCUUACAUAUAUAUACAUUUUUUUUAUCAUUGACACCUUUUAAUUAUAAACAUUCUGUUACGAUUGCACAUUUCAUACAUUUACAAAAGGUAUGUAUUUCUUUCAUUAAAGUGUCAAGAAUCACCGUGGUUUAUGCGUCAUUUGAGCCAGAAGUGUAGCAAAACAGAUUUAUAGAGAUAUUAUUUUUAAAGUGUGCCGUUUUGGUACUUGUGACGUGAGGCAUGGCCAACAUCUGUGCUCGCGUUUGAAGCAUUUUGAAUGUAUCGAAUAUGUACACAGCCUAUACCAACGGACAGGAACACCUUUCGUUGUUUUGACAUGAGAGUAAAAAGUCGUGGGUUUGGUGGAGGCUCAUUGAAACCUGUAAGAACCCUUCCUCAACUUGAUGCAGUGCAACGUCACGUGUCCGACUUGCUGGAGACUUAAACCAUAGGCGGAUAUGUGAAAAUGUUGGAUUUGUGAACACCUAUGGAAAAUGACAAUUCACACCAUGCAGCAAAUACUGCACUGAGUGUGAUCGGUUAAUUGGUGUGGGGGGGGGGGUCAGAUAUGCAAUGUUGCUUUUGAUGCGUCUAGAGUCGGCCCAGACAAAACGCUCUGCCAGGCUUAAAAUGUGCAUCCGUCCGAUGUGCAUCGCCGUGAAGAAGUCUGACUUUUACUCUCACGUGCAAAUGUCCCUCGGUUAGGCGAGGCUUGC